AGCAACUUUCUGCUCACAAUUUUGGCAGUCACCGAUUCCUAGCGGUCAGUGGGCGGUGGGGGACGAUUUUGCUAGCCAGAAAUUUCUGCUCACAAUAUUGGCACUCACCGAUUCUUAGCGUAUAUUCUCGAAAAGUUGAAACUUGUUGAAGAAAGGCAAAUGGAAGGAAGGGACUCACUUUGUUAUCUCUAAGCAGGUUUAUAUCAAUCAGUUUGCAUUACAAUUGUCAAAGGAAUUUAGCUUCUUAGAUUCCAGUUAGGAAGAAAGACUUUGGAUAGUGGACGUCGAUUUUAGUGCUGAACCACUAUAAAUCUUCUUUUUAAUUUUACUGCAUUUUGUUUA